rnacentral:rRNA from 1 species
UACGGAGGGAGCUAGCGUUGUUCGGAAUUACUGGGCGUAAAGCGCGCGUAGGCGGCUUUGUAAGUUAGGGGUGAAAGCCCGGUGCUCAACAUCGGAAUUGCCUUUAAGACUGCAUCGCUUGAAUCCAGGAGAGGUGAGUGGAAUUCCGAGUGUAGAGGUGAAAUUCGUAGAUAUUCGGAAGAACACCAGUGGCGAAGGCGGCUCACUGGACUGGUAUUGACGCUGAGGUGCGAAAGUGUGGGGAGCGAACCGG